ensembl:lncRNA
AUGGUGGCCACCAGGAGAGGAACACGCGUCGGCUCCCCUGUGAAAAAUACCAGCGAUGAAAACUCUGGAGCCACGCAGCCUACUCCUUCGACCAGAAGAACACGGCGCACAACACUAAUGGAGGAAAACCAGUCCCACUCUGAACUUGCAGGUGACUCCCAGCCAGAUGAGCUGAAGGAUGACAGUACUGCCUCUUCCUCAGUAGCUAGUCUGCUCAAGCGAGAAACCAGAAGAUCCACACGUCUCCUUGCUGACAAAAAGGAACCAAACUCUACCAAUGAAGCUGAUGUGUCUGAGUCAGAGUCUUGCUGCUCUGUAGUUUCUGAUGUGCAGGCCACACCCAGAACCCGACGGAGGACUGCAGGCAGGGAGAAGCCCACUGUGCAGGACGAGGCCUCCGAAGUUGAAUCCUGCUCAUCUGAGGUGUCCGCGACCCAUUCUCGCAGAGCUCCGUGCAGCCUGAGGAAGUGUGUUCUGACUUCAGCUGCUAAAAAAGAUGCAGCAAAGAAUGAUGAUGAUGAUGAUGAUCCCUCAGGGGCCGAGUCCUGCAGUUCUGCUGUAUCCGUCACUACAGCUAUGGACACUCGUCGGAUAACAAGGAGCCAUCGGAAGACUGCUGUUCCUUCUGCAGAAGCAGAUUCAUCUGGACCAGAGUCAUGCUCCUCCAGCGUUUCUGGCCUUCAUGGAUCUGUGGUCCGCAGAUCUGCUCGAAACCAGAAGGUCAAACCGACCCAGCCGAUCCCUUUGAGCUUUGAGGAAACCACAGACACUCCAGUGUCCAAGAAGAGAGACCAUAGACGCGAAACAGGAGCUGACGAGGAAAAUGAGUCAGACGGAUGCAAGUCUGGUCCUAGCACGAGUCCGUGGAGAUCCACCAGGCGUCAACCCAAACCUGGUGAAUCAGAUUCAGAAUCAGUAGCUACUGAUGUCUGCCAUUCUCAGGGGAGCCCAAGCCUUCAAAGAGGAAGCGGGACUCCUUGUAGUAGCCGAACUGGGUCUGCUAGUAGUACCCGUGCGGUUCCUGUAACCAGGUCAAGAAGUAAAGCAAAAGUGAAUUCUGAUGUAGGUGACACCAUUACAACUGUUGCUGCCAUGCCUGAGGAACAGGCUGAAGAGCUUGAACCUCAUUCUGAAAGUAUUCCAGUACCUGAUGAAGAUGAAGCUGAAGACACGAAACAACUGGAUAGCACUGUGACCAUGGAGACCAGUGAAGCUCAAGAGUCCACCAUGAUUGAGGAGAGAGCUGAAGAUACCACUGUAGUUCUUGAUCAGGAUGAGGCCAUCGAGAUGCAGGAACCCCAGAGCAUCUUGCAAGAUUCUGAGGCGGUGGAGGACAGUGGAACUGAAACGCUGACACUUCAAGAAAAACCUGUGGAUGGAACUUCUGCUACGCUAACUGACGAGCCUGGAGAGGUUGCCAUGGAAAAUGAUCAGCCAGAGUUUGUGGAGACAUGCCAUGUUGUUGAAAAUCAAACAUGUUCUGAGCCCGUCAAGGAGGAUCUGGUAGCAACCACCCUAGAAGAUCCUGUGUCAACUGUGGUUGGGGAGCAUGAGAACAAGGUUGAGUGUGAAAAGAAAGGUGUAAUUGUUUAUGAGGAAGCUAAGGACACCAUUAAGACAACUGGAAACGAUUUUGUAACAUUGAAUGACCUUGAAGGCCCUUCUACAAGCUCACGCACUGAACCAAAUUUGAUCACCACAGAGGAAAUAUCUAAGAAACCUCCUCCCCAGAAAAAAAGCAUCAGUUUACUUGACAGCAGCGAGGACGAAGACAGUGCUGAUGAAGGUCUGUCUUCAGAGGAGGAAGGUUGUUCACAGAAAGCUGAAGAUGAUGUGAUGUUCCCUGAUGGAAAUCGGGCGUCAGAAAAACCAGAGGCACACGGUGACGGACUGUUUGUCAUAGACACUAAACCUGGACUACGGUCUGAGAAACAGUAUUAUGUUGAUCCCAAGCAAACCGAGGAACAGGAUGAGGAGGAUUUUGUUGAUGAGGAAGGAGAUGACGAUGAUGAAGAUUCAAAAGUGCUGUUCACUUCCAAAAAGCCUCUGUAAGUUUUUUUUUUUUUAUUUUUGUAUUGAUUUUUUAAAAUUAAGUCUUUAAAUAUUUUUAACUCUUCAAUAAAUAUGUAUAUGUGAUGUUUAAAUUAUAUUUA